rnacentral:lncRNA from 1 species
GAAACAUAAGAAAGUGAUAAGAUGAUGAGAAAUGAGAAUCAAAUAAAAAUUAGGUUUCAUACUUUUCAUUGUCUUCUCACUUCGUCAUAUGUUUAUCACCUUUCACAAUUUCUUUAUUUACUCUUUUUUAUUAAAUCUCUUUUUUUUUUAUCUAUUUUUUUUAUUCUCUUUUUUUAAGUAAUAAGAUUUUUUUAACUCUUUAUAAAUUUGUUACUCAGUUUUCUUCAUAACUCUAUUUAUCUGUAUUUUAAAAUAAUAAUAUUUUUUCUCUUUUUUAAAGUAAUAAUAAUUUAUAUGUUUUAUUUUUUUCUGGGAUUAUUCGAUAAACUCUAUCAUUAUCAGUCUGUUCAUAACUCUAUUAUUCACAUUUUCUUAAAAGGUGUUUUCCUUAUUUAGUCAUUUUAUUAGUAGCCUAUGAAUCUCUAAGGAUAACCAACUUACCAACGUUAUCAAAACACCGAUUCUAUUUUGCAGUCUGAUCAUCCACAUGGUUAUUAAGAUUCAGGAAACAACUCAAUUUAUAAAGUUAACAAAAGAUCAAAUAUACUUUUUUUAUUGAUGUAUCAUUCACUCUGAUGAAUUUUAUCAGAUCAACCAUUAAAUUGUUUAUUACAGUUAGACCUUUAAUUAAAAAUUUGUUAUAUGGUAUACCUACAAAUUCUUUAUGCUUCUUCUCUUC